UCUGUUUUUUAUUAAAAAAAUGUAAUUUGUGUUGUAUCUGGUGAAGUAAACUGUAAAGGCGUUUUCACAAGUAUAUGUACAGAGUACCACAAGAUAUUAUUUAAAAUAACAGUAUUUAUUUCGUUAUUUUUUAAGUUUUCGAUAAUUUUAAUUGUUCUCGUUGCUUUCCUUGGGAAUUUUUAUGGAUUUUUAGUGUUAGUGAAAUAAAAUAAUUGUGUGAGGCGGGGGCAGAGAAUCGACAGGCAAACGCUAGAAUAAAUGCCAAAUGCCAAUAAAAAAAUCAAAAUCGCAAUUUUGCUGUCUCUUUCAUACAUCGUCGUAAACUUGAAAGAGAAGGCUACAUAAUAUAUAAGUUUCAACACAGGAAAAGCAGCCAAUAACCCAGAUUCAAAGUCUAUUCCAAUCAGAUAAAAGUUUUCCUUCGUGGUUUUAUUACAUGGUGAAACCUAACUGUAUAAAGUUUAAUGGUUAUCUUCGAUCUGCCAAUACCAUGCAAAUAUUGCCUGCGGGCGCGCGAUAUGGUCCAGCGCUAUCCGAUUCUAUCUCAUAUCCAGGUUAAUUCAGUCCUACGGUUAAUGGUUAUAUACAGUCCUACCCGGUUUUAUACAGUUCUGUCCGGUUUUAUCUACUCCUAUCCGUUUUUAUAAAGUUCUAUCCGGGUUUGUCAAGUCCUAUCCGGUUUUAUCCAGUCCUAUCCGGUUUUAUACAAAUCUAGUCGGUCCCUGUCCCCGACGGAACGAUGGCUAUGUCGCGAGUACUAUUCCAAAACUU